GCUUAAAUAGCUCAGUUGGUAGAGUAGUGGAUUGAAAAUCCAUAGGUCAGUGGUUCGAAUCCGCUUUUAAGCA
rnacentral:tRNA from 1 species